AGUUUUGUGUCAAUAAAAAACAAAAAUUACAGGGGAUUAUUUUCGUGAAUAAGUUAAAAAAAUAAUAUAAAUAAAUAAAAAUCUCUCUCCCCCUUUCAUUCCCACGAAACGUGUUGCUCUACUCAUUAUGUUGCUCUACUCAUUAUAUAGUUUCUACUCCUCCACCGAAGCUUCCUUCCUGCUACCUUUCAAGAAGAAAAAAAAAAAAAAAGAAAAAAAAAAGAAGGCUUCCUUCCUGGUCAAAUUGCCCUAAUGGCUGACAAAACGGACUCUUGGUCUCUCAAAAUGACCUAAUUACAGACUGUUCGGACCCGGACCAAUGCUCCAAUUUGAUGCCUCAAUUGGUAGCCCUAGUUGUUGUUGUUGUUGCAGAGAUCGGAUUUCUGGGUCGGCUCGACAUGGCCAAGAACGUUGCUUUUUUGUUCAACUCCUUGGCCCAGUCCUUCUAUCAGUUCACAUUGUCCUCUUCGGCGACGAUAGUUGAUGAGGUUAGGUUGGCUGUGUUGGAUCGUGACCGCAGCUCCGAACUGAGUCUUUUUCGAGGAGUGGGUGGAGAGAGAAGACUCUGUAGUGUAUUGCAGAGAUUUUCAGAAGCAACGAAUCUCAGUUAAGGGUUUUGAGGAGGUAUUCGUCAGUUCCAGGGUUAGAGCUUGAUUGUGCUGAGCAAAUACAGUCACUCAUUCCUCCGACUACGUAGGACUGCUUUCCAUGUUUAGCUUUGGAUUUUGUUUCGGUUUGGGAUUUUGAUAGGUGUCCACCGGAUGGAUUCCCGAAUUGUUUAAGUAAUGAAGGUAAGAUGCCUAAAUCAUGGAGUACACAAGAUCGGAGGAAAUUUGUGAAUGAAGCUAAAAAGUUCUAUUGGGAUGAACCAUGCCUUUAUAAGUAUGGUGCGGAUCAAAUCAUCCGAUGAUGCAUUUCGGAUGAAGAAAAAGGAAGUGUGAUGAACUUUUGUCACAAUGAAGCAUGUGGAGGCCACUUCUCUUCGAAGAAAACUGCAGCAAAAAUUCUUCAAUAUGGACUUUAUUGGCCAUCAUUGUUCAAAGAUAUACACAAUUUUUGCAAAGCUUGUCCAAGAUGUCAAUUAUAAAAGGAAUCACAAGAAGAAACAUGAUGCCCUUGAAUCCAACCUUAAUCAUUGAAAUAUUUGAUUGUUGGGGCAUCGACUUCAUGGGACCAUUCUCAUCCUCGUACGGUAACUUGUACAUUUUAUUAGUUGUUGAUUAUGUUUCCAGGUGGGUGGAAGCACGAUCUUGCAAGAACAAUGAUAACAAAACUAUUGUGAAGUUCUUAAAAGAUAAUAUUCUUGUAAGAUUUGGCACCCCAAGGCAAUUAUAAGUGAUGGUAGUUCACACUUUUGUAACCGUACUUUUGAGGCACUCAUGCGAAAGUAUGGAGUUACACAUAAAGUGUCAUGUUCUUACCACCCUCAAACCAAUGGGCAAGCUGAAUUGGCUCAAUAGGGAGAUGAAGCAAAUUUUAGAAAAAACGGUAAAUUUGUCCUAUAGUUUAAUGAAGGUAGAGAACUGAAUGCUAUAGUUUAAUGAAUGUAGAGAACUUCGUUAGAAAUGUAAUAGAAUCCUGUAAUAUUGAAGUGAGAAUGCUUAUGUAAUAAAUUGCUUAAGGAAAUAUGUUUGUUCGUAAUAUGAUAUUUAGAUGAUUUCUGUUACUCCCGUGUUCUGAUUUUUAGCUUUUCUAUUAUUUAUGGAAAUCAUAUAUAUUCUAGGAAAGCAUC